CCCAGACUCCUACGGGAGGCAGCAGUGGGGGAUAUUGCACAAUGGGGGAAACCCUGAUGCAGCGACACCGCGUGGGUGAAGAAGCGCUUCGGCGUGUAAAGCCCUAUCAGUGGGGAAGAAAAAGGACGGUACCCAAAGAAGAAGCACCGGCUAAAUACGUGCCAGCAGCCGCGGUAAUACGUAUGGUGCAAGCGUUAUCCGGAAUGACUGGGUGUAAAGGGAGCGUAGGCGGGACUGCAAGUUGGGUGUCAAAUCUACCGGCUCAACCGGUAGCCGCACUCAAAACUGCAGUUCUUGAGUGAAGUAGAGGCAGGCGGAAUUCCUAGUGUAGCGGUGAAAUGCGUAGAUAUUAGGAGGAACACCAGUGGCGAAGGCGGUCUGCUGGACAGCAACUGACGCUGAGGCGCGAAAGCGUGGGGAGCAAACAGGAUUAGAUACCCCGGUAAA
rnacentral:rRNA from 1 species